GCCCGGGUGGUCUAGUGGUAUGAUUCUCGCUUAGUAAGUUCCACUUAAGAAAUACCUUAUUUAGUUAUACUGUUACUAACAGCGCCUUCAGGGGUUCACCCUUAGCAAAUAUGCGAGAGGUCCCGCGUUCGAUCCGCGGCUCGGGCC